rnacentral:snRNA from 1 species
AUUCUUGUGCUCGGGCACGUACUGUCGCCAGUGAGGUCUUUACCGAGGCACAGUCUUUUGCUGAUUGCAAAUUACACAUCCGAACACGUCUGUCGGCUUCGGCCUUCAGCAAUUUUUGGAAAAUCCUCCUCCGCCUCUACGCCGGCUCUCGGGU